GACAGAGGGGGCAAGCGUUGCUCGGAAUUACUGGGCGUAAAGGGCGCGUAGGCGGGAUGGCAAGUCGGUCGUGAAAUCCCUCGGCUCAACCGAGGAACGUCGAUCGAUACUGCUGUUCUUGAGGAUUGCAGAGGAGACUGGAAUUCCCGGUGUAGCGGUGAAAUGCGUAGAGAGUCCGGAGGAAGACCGGUGGCGAAGGCGGCCUGCUGGGCAGUUACUGACACUGAGGCGCGGACAGCGUGGGAGCAAACAGG
rnacentral:rRNA from 1 species